rnacentral:rRNA from 1 species
UACGUAGGUGGCAAGCGUUGUCCGGAUUUACUGGGCGUAAAGAGCGCGCAGGCGGUCGUUCAAGUCGCGUGUGAAAGCCCCCGGCUCAACUGGGGAGGGUCACGCGAUACUGAUCGACUCGAAGGCAGGAGAGGGAAGUGGAAUUCCCGGUGUAGUGGUGAAAUGCGUAGAUAUCGGAAGGAACAUCAGUGGCGAAAGCGGCUCCUGGACCAGCACCGACGUCAGGCACGAAAGCGUGGGGAGCAAAC